rnacentral:rRNA from 2 species
UGGGGAAUAUUGGACAAUGGGCGAAAGCCUGAUCCAGCCAUGCCGCGUGAGUGAUGAAGGCCCUAGGGUUGUAAAGCUCUUUUAGCGGGGAAGAUAAUGACGGUACCCGCAGAAUAAGCCCCGGCUAACUUCGUGCCAGCAGCCGCGGUAAUACGAAGGGGGCUAGCGUUGCUCGGAAUCACUGGGCGUAAAGGGCGCGUAGGCGGCCAUUCAAGUCGGGGGUGAAAGCCCAGGGCUCAACCCUGGAAUUGCCUUCGAUACUGUUUGGCUAGAGACCGGAAGAGGUAAGUGGAACUGCGAGUGUAGAGGUGAAAUUCGUAGAUAUUCGCAAGAACACCAGUGGCGAAGGCGGCUUACUGGUCCGGUUCUGACGCUGAGGCGCGAAAGCGUGGGGAGCAAACAGG